CCUACGGGUGGCUGCAGUAGGGAAUCUUCCGCAAUGGACGAAAGUCUGACGGAGCAACGCCGCGUGAGCGAAGAAGGCCUUCGGGUCGUAAAGCUCUGUCCUAAGGGAAGAAGCAUGACGGUACCUUAGGAGGAAGCCCCGGCUAACUACGUGCCAGCAGCCGCGGUAAUACGUAGGGGCGAGGGGUAUCCGGAAUUACUGGGCGUAAAGGGUGCGUAGGCGGCCAAUUAAGCCAGGGGUGAAAGGCUACGGCUCAACCGUAGUAAGCCUUUGGAACUGAAUGGCUUGAGUGCAGGAGAGGAGAGUGGAAUUCCUAGUGUAGCGGUGAAAUGCGUAGAUAUUAGGAGGAACACCAGUGGCGAAGGCGACUCUCUGGACUGUAACUGACGCUGAGGCACGAAAGCGUGGGGAGCAAACAGGAUUAGAUACCCUAGUAGUC
rnacentral:rRNA from 1 species